AGGAAAUGGCAUGACCACCCCUAAGUGCCUGCUGCCUGGAGGCGAUAUUGGGCUGAUGAGGGAUAACAGACGGAAGUAGAAUCCAAACAAAACAGAGGCACUUCCUCAAGUUAUGCUGGUGUUUUCACCAAAGGAUUUUGGCGCCAGUGAAUAUUCCUUGCAUCUUUUAUAUCUGCAUACCCAAGACAGUGUCUAAAACAGAAGAGUUCUAGCUGGAUAAAUCUCUGUGAACCAUGUCUCCUUAAUUUUUAUACAUCGUACUCAUAUGAUCCAUCAUGCCAUGCACUGAAACAUAAACAUCUGAAGGCUUUCCAAACACCAUGACUAAUGUUCCUGUCGCCACUCACCACCUGAAGCAUAGCCAUCAAGUGCCAAGCUAUAAAGAACAGCGGGACAGAAACAAAAUGGCGGAGAUGAGAAGCACCAACCUUAAUGGCUACACUUUAAUUUACUACUACUACUUCUUGCUGGCUUUAAUAACUGCUUGAUGAGCAAAGCAAAGCUACUCAACUUCAACACUGAAGAUAUUUAUUCUGGGUUUUUUAAAAAUUUAAUGUAUACCCCACCUUUCUUCAAAACUGAAUUCAAGAUGAUUGCCAAGAGGUCCAGAAUCCCUAGGAUUGCCAUGUUCUAAACCUUAUUGAAGACAUCUCUGUGCCGCCAGGCAUUUGCCCUUUAAUUUUUUGUUGGUUUUUGUUUGUUUGUUUUUAAAAUCUCGGAUGCUGUUCUUGUUUAUACACCGACCUGUCUGUAAAUUGAGCGGUAUAUUAAAUCUCUUAAUAAAUAAAUAAUAAAU